CAGCCGCCGCGGGAAUACAGAGGGUGCGAGCGUUAAUCGGAUUUACUGGGCGUAAAGCGUGCGUAGGCGGCUUCUUAAGUCGGAUGUAAAUCCCUGAGCUUAACUUAGGAAUUGCAUUCGAUACUGGGAAGCUAGAGUAUGGGAGAGGAUGGUAGAAUUCCAGGUGUAGCGGUGAAAUGCGUAGAGAUCUGGAGGAAUACCGAUGGCGAAGGCAGCCAUCUGGCCUAAUACUGACGCUGAGGUACGAAAGCAUGGGGAGCAAACAGGAUUAGAGACCCGCGUAGUCCCUGUCUCUUAUACC
rnacentral:rRNA from 1 species